AAGCUCGUAGUUGAAUUUCGGGAUCAAUUUAUUGGUCGUGCUAUUGUACGUACUGGUAUUAUUGAUUUCUACCUUCUGACGAACCAUGAUGUCAUUAAUUUGGUGUCUUGGGGAAUCAGGACUGUUACUUUGAAAAAAUUAGAGUGUUUAAAGCAGGCUCACGCUUGAAUACAUUAGCAUGGAAUAACGAAACAGGACGUUUGAUUCUAUUUUGUUGGUUUCUAGGAUCGACGUAAUGAUUAAUAGGGAUAGUUGGGGGCAUUAGUAUUCAAUUGUCAGAGGUGAAAUUCUUGGAUUUAUUGAAGACUAACUACUGCGAAAGCAUUUGCCAAGGAUGUUUUCAUUAAUCAAGAACGAAAGUUAGGGGAUCGAAGACGAUCAGAUACCGUCGUAGUCUUAACCAUAAACUAUGCCGACUAGGGAUCGGACGAUGUUAUUUUUAUGACUCGUUCGGCA
rnacentral:rRNA from 1 species